CCAAGCAAUUCUACCAUCGAAGACUCUACAAUGGACACAUAAGAAAAGACUCAUCACACCGGCACCAAAAAAUAACUAAAAAAGAAACAAAAAAAGAAACCGUGUUGUUUCUCUCUCUCUCUUCCAUUAUUUCCUUUCCUACGCAUAUCCCAUCCCUCCUCUUUUCAUCUGUUCCUUCGACUCUCGGGUGAAUAUUGUAUGUUUUUUUUUCCAUUUUCUGGUGACAGUUAACUUCGCAUCUUGUUUUUGGUUGGAUUGGUUUGUUUUGCUGCCAAUUCUCUGGCUCGUGAUUGUGGUGCUGUUCCACAGAGCUGUUGUCCGAGUUGCUGCGUUUCCAUUUCAUUAAUCUCUAGUUUGUUUUUGCUGGGUAUUUGCUCUCUUCCCUUCUUCCCUUUUGCUUAAUACGUUUUCAAUUACCCAAAAGAACAAUUAAAGCUACCAUUUUCAUUUUAUGUAUUUCCUGAGCGUUUGCCGAACCAGAUUUCCAGGAACUGUCUUUUUCCCAUGGCAUUGAGCACCCAAAGAGCCUAUACAUCUCGUACUUCAGCUGAAUGGGCUCCUCCCCAUUGGAAGCAUGAUGUCUUUUUGAGUUUCAGGGGUGAAGACACUCGCAGCGGUUUUCUAUCCCAUUUAUACCAUGAACUGCAGUACUGGCAAGCAAUUAAAACUUUCAAGGACGACUUGAGCGAUUGCCAGAUCUUCCGCUAAAUAUAAGAAGUGUAAACGUAGACAAUUGUAUUUCCCUUUUUAGUAUUGGUGAAGUUGCUUCAAAUUGGUUGAAGAAGAAGAAUUUUAAGCUUUCUUGUUUUAAUUGCUUCAAAUUGGUUGAAGAAGAAGACUGGAUUAUAUUUUUCUUUAAAAUGAUAAGGACAGCGGCCAUUGAGGGAAUGCUCUUAAAAAAUAAUGGUAAUUCUUUUGCUCCUGUGAGCUGUAUUACAUGCCCUGUAUUUGGAAUUCUUGAGUGGUUCGGUAAUCCAAGUGUGGGAGAUUCAAUAACUGUGGAGCUGCCUCUCCUUCCACACCCAUCAAAUAGCAGCGACUGGGUUGGGAUUGCUGUAUGUGUUGUUUUUGAUAGUAGUCCCGGAUUCCUUCCUGGAUAUUAUUUCAAGAUUGAAGUUCGAUCAUCUCAGAGAUAUUUGGAUGUCCUUCGUCGACGCUAUCCAACUGAGAUGAUUUUUUCAAAUAACCUUUGGGUUUUUUAUUUGCCUCGCGAUCAUCCAACCCUCACGAAUGCCUCAACCAGUCAUCGGUUUUCGUUCGAAACGUAUUAUUUUUCACCUAGAAGUUUGGAAAACCUCAAAACAAGCUCGAUUAUAAAGGAAUGUAGGGCUCGGUUGGUGUACAAGAGAGAUUUGGAAGAAUUCAGCCGUUUGAGGUACGGUGACGAGGUAGGUCCAAUUGGUAGUAGUGGAAGUGGUAGCUCUGAUGAGGGCGAUGAACCAGUCGCCAAAAGAUUGAAGAAAGUCUAAAUUAUUUUGUGCAUGGUGCAAUCAUUCAAUGAGGUCUCAAAAUAAUACUUGAAAAGCUAAUGACGAUGAUGGUCAAUCCUCAGAAUUCAUCUCAAUAUUGUACUGAAAACAGACAAGUAAGGUGUCUGUAUGCCAUGAAAAUGCACACUCUGAAUGAACCUUUGCAGAUGUUGCCCAACUGAAGCAUUUAGAACCGCACACUACUGAAUGAACUUCAGAUUUUAUUGGUAACUCAGGAGUUCUGUUGGAAAAACAGUUGGCAUUAUCGGCUUGGGAUGAAUUGGCAAGCCAGAGUUGAAGUACUAGGAAUACUAUCCAAGUUCCAUGGAGUUAGUUGGUUGUGUGAACUCUGAUCACUUCUGAGGAGACCAACAACAUUGUCGAUUUUGAAGUCAUCAAUGCUUGCUUUCCAAAGGGUAUUCUUGUUAACAUUGGAAGAGGCCUUAAUAUCAAUGAACCUGAGUCUCUGCACUGCUGGAUGGUUUCUGCUGACAUGGUUCAAGUCCACUCCACAUGUUGUAUAUGUUUGAUACAGAUGGGCAGGCUAUGGUGAUGAAAGGAUUACUAAAUCCGGUGAAUACGGAAGGUGCUCAAGUUUUAGAAAAACAGUGUUGGCUUGUUCUGCAAGGCUGGUGGAUGGAGGACAUAUCAGCAUAAAAGCUUUCUGGCCUCCCCCUUGUUAUCUCUGCAAGUGACAAACUCGUUGGAACUCCUCUACAAGUUUGGCCUUUUGUGGUCCUUGUGGCAAUGAACUUUCUCUUGUAAUGAUAAAACAAAUAAGAAAAGGAAAUGCAAAUAUGGGGAAGACUAAUGCAGCUAAAACUCCCAAUCCAAGAGCCAUCUCCACUAUCCUGUUUUUCUUUCAUGAGAAUGAUCAACAGGGAUGCUGUUGAUAAUUGAAUCAUGUGAUGGAGAGCACAAGUGGAUGAGACCCAAAAGUCUUGAAUCUCCACCUAUUCACAAUGUGAAAUUGAUCAUGAAGGGCAGAGUCUGUUGCAUUAUCUACAAUGGCAGUAAGUGAGUGGUCAAAGCAUAAGACUACAACAAAUGAGAAUGUAGCUUUCCUCU